CUUUUGAUGGUCAUCUUCUCAGUGUUGUGUGUUUAUGUGACCUGGACGAGGGAUUAAAACAGCUGAGCGACCUUCAGACGCUCCAGCUGGGUUUUUGGCAGCAGUAGAAGAGAGGAACAAAGAGGAGAAGGAGGAGAUAAUGGGGUCUCCCAUGGGGUUCUGGUGGGUGGAUGUCAGGGGUACAUCAGGGGUGGAAUUUGCUUUCCCAGUUCUGUUUCCACAAAACAUUCCCCACUGAGUUUCUCCUUUCCAGAGGGAAAGAUCCAGAUUGCCAAGCUCACAGUUGUGCUGUGGUGUUAUUUUACAGGGGUUUUUUUAAGUAUAGCUAAUACACCUAUGCAGUCAGCUGAUGCAACUUGACAGUAAUAACUGUUGUCUGGCUGAAGUUAAAGGGGAACUCCAUUUAACAGCAGUUAUGUAGUUGCCAAGCUGCUUCCUGAAUUAUCGGGAAAAUCCUUCGUGCUCUGUAUCUCUAACACUGGUUUCACACUGCUGUCAGACUUUUCCUUCCUUAUCUGCCUGGCACCCUGUGAUGUUCAUUAUUCCUUUAAAAAGACACUGAUGCUUUUGCAUGUUGGGAAGUUUAAACUGAAAAAGAAACCAAACUCUGAGCAACCUAAAACUAUUCUAUGCACGCAGUAUUAAUUCUUAUCAACAAUACGGGGAAAGCCUGGGACUAAAUGAUAACAGAGAAUCGUCGAAAAUUUCUCAACAGGAGAAUGAUCGCACAGCAGAAACUCAAAUAACCACUUUUUACAACCAGCGUGUGCAGAAGAGCAUCUCUGAAUGUACGUCAUUUAAAACAUUGAAGCAGACUGGCUACAGCAGCAGAAGACCACACUGGGUGGCGCUUCAGUCAGCUAACAGAGUGACCUCUGCACUCUGUCAUUUUACAUCAAAUUAUUAAUCAAGAAAAUGCCUCAAUAAUAUAAGUUACAUUUACGGUGUGGUGGGAAAAGCAAGUCUUCGUUAACACUAUUUAAAAAGGUUCACAACUAACGAAGGCGGGAUAAAUGUUUUUAUCCUUUACAAAUCAGAAUCAGAAUCAGAAUACUUUAUUGAUCCCUGGGGGAAAUUAUUUUUUGUUACAGUGCUCCAUUUUAAACCAAAGUAACCAAACAAAGUAAGAACUGUAAUCGUAAGAAAGCAACAAAACAGGGUCACUGGGUUCAAAUUAACUCAGCUAAGAAGAAUGUGUUGUCGACUGUUUGACGGGAAGCUGACAGACUGUCUGACCGGUUUGAAAGAAGAAAACAUUGACGAUUAGAGACAGAGAUGUACUGAAAUACAGCCGUGACAGCCUCCCUCUUCGCACGUUCAGUCCUCCCCUAUGAACCUGCGAUCCACCUCAUGUUUUUGUGAAAGACGACUCCCUGCUCACCAACACCUGGGCUUUAAAAGCAGGCGCACUGCCAAUAGAAGGAGAAAAACAAACCAGACAGGUUUCAGCUUUCCCUUCGGUGAAAAACAAACGGUGAGAGAAGCGAGUGGGAAGAAGGAACCGAGAAAGAGAGAGAGAGGUGAGGUUGUUUGGCCUCUGUUUCAUCCUUCCAAGCUCACCAUAUGAGAGCUAUUUUACUGCCCUUUGACAAGGGACCAGCAGGAUUUCCCCUGAAGUAGCAGUUUACUGUAAGCUUGUGGGUGUGGGGGGUGGAGAUAGGUCUGUUUGUUAGGGUAGACCGCUCCAAGUUCUGUGAAAAAGUAUUAGUCCAAUCGGGUGGGAGGUUGUGUACUAGUAGCAAAGAGGUCACAAUUCCACAAAAUCUCAUCUAUACUCCAAAAGUCUUCUGUGGCAGUCAACGAAAUAAUGAGUUCAACAGAUGCUAGGUGGAAAAAACUAGGCUCUAAAAGCCAUAACAUUUCAUUUUGUGUUUGUUUUUUAAAGAUCUAAUUAUUUCAAGCAAUUACAGCAAAAUAAUCAAACAAAUAAAUGAAAAAUGGAGAGAAUUUUUGUUCUGGGUAUUUUUUUUCUCUUGUUUUUCUUCUUCUUUGCUGCUUUUUUUGUUUUGGUCUUCAUAAAAAUGCAGCUGCUUCUUUUGGUGCAUUAACUGGACAGGGUUUUAAAAGAGAAACAGACAACAACAAAAUGAAUACAUCCUCUGUGCCAUCACACGGUCUGAAAUUUCUCCAUUGGUUUCUUAGAAAACCGGUCUGUGCGUGUCUGUGCAAACCUCUGGCACUGCAUCCUCUCCAGGGCAUGAGCGGAAUAAAAACACUGCGAUCCUCCAAUCGUGACAUCACUCUCAGCUCAGAGUGUCCAAAGGCAUAAAUCGAGAAAAGAUGUGGAAAUGAAGGCAGGUUAUUCUUAAACGCAACAGUCUGUGCUUCUAAUUUCAACUUUAUAGCUGGG
ensembl:lncRNA